GAGUCGAGGGGGGAGGGAAAGCGACAAGUGUAGCAUUUCUUGCGGGUGCAAGUGAAAGUGCCCGAGGAGGGGGUAGUAUGGGUGGGAAGAGAAGAAUUGUCCAGGGAGUUAAGGAGGGAGAGGUC